ensembl:snRNA U1 U1 spliceosomal RNA
UUGGUUUUCUGGUAGGGGUGAUUCCAGAUCACAAAGGUAGUUUCCCCAAGGUGAUGAGGCUUAUCCAUUGCACUUGGGAUGGGCUGACCCCUGUGAUUUCCCCAAAUGUGAGUAAACUCAACUGCAUAAUUUGUGAUAGUGGAUUGCGAUUUGUUCUCCCCUAUU